rnacentral:rRNA from 1 species
CGCUCUUCGUAUAAAAAAAAUGAAGAGUCGAACCUGCCCAGUGAAUUUUUCAACGGCCGCGGUACUCUGACCGUGCAAAGGUAGCAUAAUCAUUUGCCUUAUAAUUGAAGGCUAGUAUGAAUGGUCUGACGAGAGCAACUCUGUCUCCUUUCUAUUUUUUAGAAUUUGACUUUUAGGUGAAGAGGCCUAAAUUUUAUUGAAGGACAAGAAGACCCUGUCGAGCUUAAAAAGCCAACAGAUAACACCUAUAUUAUUUAUAAAUAUAUAACUAUUAACCUUUUUUGGUUGGGGCGACCGAGGAACAAAAAAAGCUUCCUCUUAACUUAUAAACCUAUUUGUUUUGAUCCAGCUAAAGCUGAUUCAAAAAACUAGUUACCGCAGGGAUAACAGCAUAAUCUCCCUUGAGAGACCAAAUCGAAAGGGGGGGUUGUGACCUCGAUGUUGGACUAGAAUAUCCUAAAGAUGCAGAAGUCUUUAAAGGUUGGUCUGUUCGACCAUUGAAAUUCU